rnacentral:rRNA from 1 species
AUUCCAGCUCCAAUAGCGUAUACUAAAGUUGUUGCAGUUAAAAAGCUCGUAGUUGAAUUUCUGGGUGUGAUAGGCGGUCCGUGUGCAUAACAUGUGUACCUCCCUCUCAUGCCCAUCCUCGAAGUGAAUAUGCAUUGCCUUAACUGUGUCGUGUAUAGGACCUUCGUCAUUUACUGUGAGCAAAAUAGAGUGUUCAAAGCAGGCUUAUGCCGUUGAAUAUAUUAGCAUGGAAUAAUAAGAUAUGACUUCUGUCUAUUUUGUUGGUUUGCACUCGGAAGUAAUGAUUGAUAGGGAUAGUUGGGGGUGCUAGUAUUGAGCGGCCAGAGGUGAAAUUCUUGGAUUCGCUCAAGACUAACUUAUGCGAAAGCAUUCACCAAGGAUGUCUUCAUCA